GGGGUUUUAGUUUAAUUAAGAAUUGUUAGCUGUUAACUAAUGGGUGUCAAAAUGUCAAGCUCCU
rnacentral:tRNA from 2 species